GGUCCUUGUUUCAGCAGCCCACGUACUAAAAUUGGAAUGACACAGAGAAGGUUAGCAUGGCCCCUGCGCAAGGUUGACACACAAAUUCAUGAAGUUACUUUCACUAUA
ensembl:snRNA U6 U6 spliceosomal RNA